GUCAAAUUAUACCACUUUUUUACCGAAACUGAUUAGUGCAGAAUGUCCCAAUACAGAUCUACUGAAGGAUUAGAAGUGUGAAAUCAAUUUGUCAUCUAAAAUUUAAAUACGCUAAGGAUUAAGUCUUCAUUAAGUUCCAUUGUUUCAGUUUGAUGUUUCUGUCUUGUCAUUGAAUUUUAAUUUUUUAAAGGGUGAAUAAUUUUUUUAACAAUUUAUGGUAACUGUAAAAAGCCACAAGGAACUCAAAGGAGUUCUUUAUAAGAGCUCAUAUACCUGCCAUGGGACCUCAAGUAUCCUGACCUUUGCUGAGAUGUAAUGUUAACAUCAUAAAGAUGGUCUUUUCAAAGAGGUGGAUAA
rnacentral:misc_RNA from 1 species